AGAGUUUGAUCAUGGCUCAGGGUGAACGCUGGCGGCGUGCCUAAGACAUGCAAGUCGAACGGGCCUGAUUUCGGUCAGGCUAGUGGCGGACGGGUGAGUAACACGUGGGUGAUCUACCCCAAAGUCUGGGACAACUAGGGGAAACCUUAGCUAAUCCCGGAUGGUGAGGCUUCUCCUGUGAAGUCUCUAAAGAUUUAUCGCUUUGGGAUGAGCCCGCGGCGCAUCAGCUAGUUGGUGGGGUAAUGGCCUACCAAGGCGACGACGCGUAGCUGGUCUGAGAGGACGACCAGCCACAGGAGCACUGAGACACGGGCUCCACUCCUACGGGAGGCAGCAGUUAGGAAUCUUCGUCAAUGGGCGAAAGCCUGAACGAGCGACGCCGCUUGAGGGACGAAGCCCUUCGGGGUGUAAACCUCUGAACAGGGGACGAUGAUGACGGUACCCUGCUAAUAGCACCGGCUAACUCCGUGCCAGCAGCCGCGGUAAUACGGAGGGUGCGAGCGUUACCCGGAUUUACUGGGCGUAAAGGGCGUGUAGGCGGUUUUCUAAGUCCGGGGCUAAAGACCAGGGCUCAACCCUGGGUUUGCCUUGGAUACUGGAAAGCUCGACGGCUGGAGGGGGCAGCGGAAUUUCCGGAGUAGCGGUGAAAUGCGCAGAUACCGGAAGGAACGCCAAUAGCGAAGGCAGCUGCCUGGACAGUACGUGACGCUGAGGCGCGAAAGCGUGGGGAGCAAACCGGAUUAGAUACCCGGGUAGUCCACGCCCUAAACGAUGAGUGCUGGGUGUCCGGCGUUUGCCGG
rnacentral:rRNA from 1 species